rnacentral:tRNA from 1 species
GGAUGUAGCUCAGUGGUAAAGUGCUUGCCUCACAUGUAUGAAGCCUUGGGUUCAAUUCCCAGCUCCA